rnacentral:rRNA from 1 species
CACGUAGGGUGCGAGCGUUGUCCGGAAUUAUUGGGCGUAAAGAGCUCGUAGGCGGUGUGUCGCGUCGGCCGUGAAAACCUGUAGCUUAACUGUGGGCUUGCGGUCGAUACGGGCAUCACUGGAGUUCGGCAGGGGAGACUGGAAUUCCUGGUGUAGCGGUGAAAUGCGUAGAUAUCGGGAGGAACACCAGUGGCGAAGGCGACUACCUGGCCUGUUCUUGACGCUGAGGCGCGAAAGCUAGGGGAGCAAACGGG